rnacentral:rRNA from 2 species
CCAAGGAGUCUAACAUGUGCGCGAGUCGUCGGGUCUUGAACAGGCCCGCAGGCGAAAUGAAAGUGAAGGGCGACCCAGUCGUCGCCUGCGUUGGGAUCCCCGGGCGGCUGAGUCCGGGGCGCACCAACGGCCCGUCCCGUCCGCGUCGUCGGUGGGACGGAGCGAGAGCGUACACGUUGGGACCCGAAAGAUGGUGAACUAUGCCUGGGCAGGACGAGGCCAGAGGAAACUCUGGUGGAGGUCCGCAGCGAUUCUGACGUGCAAAUCGAUCGUCAGACCUGGGUAUAGGGGCGAAAGACUAAUCGAACCGUCUAGUAGCUGGUUCCCUCCGAAGUUUCCCUCAGGAUAGCUGGCGCUCGAGGGAGUCAGUCUCAUCCGGUAAAGCGAAUGAUUAGAGGCCUUGGGGCCGAAACGACCUCAACCUAUUCUCAAACUUUCAAUGGGUGAGAAGUCCGGUUUACAUGACUGAAGCCCGGACAAUUCUCAGGAUGCGAGUGCCCAGUGGGCCACUUUU